rnacentral:rRNA from 1 species
AUUGAACGCUGGCGGCAGGCCUAACACAUGCAAGUCGAGCGGAGCGGCGGACGGGUGAGUAAUGCCGAGGAAUCUGCCUGGGAGUGGGGGAUAACGUCCGGAAACGGGCGCUAAUACCGGAUACUAUCAUAUGAGCCUGGGUCGGAUUAGCUAGUGGGUGGGGUAACGGCCUACCAAGGCGACGAUCCGUAACUGGUCUGAGAGGAUGAUCAGCCACAUUGGAACGGAGACACGGCCCAGACUCCUACGGGAGGCAGCAGUGGGGAAUCUUGGACAAUGGGCGAAAGCCUGAUCCAGCCAUGCCGCGUGAGUGAAGAAGGUUUUCGGAUUGUAAAGCACUUUAGGUUGGGAGGCGUUACCAACAGAAUAAGCACCGGCUAACUUCGUGCCAGCCGCCGCGGUAAUAC